UACGAGGGGGGCAAGCGUUGUUCGGAAUUAUUGGGCGUAAAGGGCGCGUAGGCGGUGCGGUAAGUCACCUGUGAAACCUCUGGGCUCAACUCAGAGCCUGCAGGCGAAACUGCCGUGCUGGAGUGUGGGAGAGGUGCGUGGAAUUCCCGGUGUAGCGGUGAAAUGCGUAGAUAUUCGGAAGAACACCAGUGGUGAAGGCGGCUCACUGGACUGGUAUUGACGCUGAGGUGCGAAAGCGUGGGGAGCAAACAGG
rnacentral:rRNA from 1 species